rnacentral:tRNA from 1 species
GGUAAGAUGGCCGAGUGGUUAAGGCGAGUGACUUAAGAAAAUACUUCACUUGACGAAAGUCGCGUGGGUUCGAACCCCACUCUUACCA